rnacentral:rRNA from 1 species
GCCUACGACCAUAUCACCCUGAAUGCGCCCGAUCUCGUCUGAUCUCGGAAGCUAAGCAUGGUCGAGCCUGGUUAGUGCUUGGAUGGGAGACUGCCUGGGAAUACCAGGUGUUGUAGGCU